GCGAAAGUAAAAAAGGGCGCAUGGCGGAUGCCUUGGCUCACGGAGGCGAUGAAGGACGUGAUAAGCUGCGAUAAGCUUUGGGUAGGUGCAAAUGACCUUUGAUCCAGAGAUUUCCGAAUGGGACAACCCAAUAGCCUGAAGGGCUAUUAUCUCAAAUCAGUUUUGAGAGGCGAACGGAGGGAACUGAAACAUCUUAGUACCUCCAGGAGAAGAAAACAACAGUGAUUCCCCCAGUAGUGGCGAGCGACCGGGGAGUAGCCCAAACCGUCGUUGUGGCGACGCAAUGUCGGGGUAGUAGGACCACGGCGUGGUACUCAGAUGUAGAGUAGAAUGUUCUGGAAAGUUCAAUCAGAGAAGGUGACAAUCCUGUAUACGAAUACGAAUGAGUCCUAGUGGUAUCCUGAGUAACGCGGGACACGAGUAAUCCUGCGCGAAUCUGCCGGGCCCAUCCGGCAAGGCUAAAUACUCCCGUGAGACCGAUAGUGUACGAGUACCGUGAGGGAAAGGUGAAAAGCACCCCUAUUAGGGGAGUGAAAGAGUACCUGAAACCAUGCGCCUACAAGCGGUCGGAGCCUUUUUAUGAGGUGACGGCGUGCCUUUUGCAUAAUGAACCUACGAGUUGCCAUGUCCAGCGAGGUUAAGAAUGACGACAUUCCGAGCCGCAGUGAAAGCGAGGCUGAAUAGGCCGUCCAGUUGGAUGGGGCAGACGCGAAACCGAGUGAUCUACACAUGUCCAGGCUGAAGUCCCGGUAACACGGGAUGGAGGGCCGCACCAAUAAGCGUUGAAAAGCUUCUGGAUGAGGUGUGUGUAGGAGUGAAAGGCCAAUCAAACUCGGAGAUAGCUCGUACUCCCCGAAAGGCAUUUAGGUGCCGCGUGCUGUGUUUGCCGUGAGAGGUAGAGCGACCGAUUGGAUGCGAGGGCUUCGCCGCCUAUCAAGUCCAGACGAACUCCGAAUGCUCACGGCCUGUAGCCGUGCAGUAAGGGUGCGGGUGCUAAGGUCCGUGCCCGAGAGGAGAAGAAUCCAGACCGCCGUCUAAGGUCCCUGAGUUCUGCCUGAGUUAGUCUAAC
rnacentral:rRNA from 1 species